UACGAAGGGGGCUAGCGUUGCUCGGAAUUACUGGGCGUAAAGGGAGCGUAGGCGGGUUAUCAAGUUGGGGGUGAAAGCCCGGGGCUCAACCUCGGAAUUGCCUUCAAAACUGAUAACCUGGAGUAUGGAAGAGGUAAGUGGAACUCCGAGUGUAGAGGUGAAAUUCGUAGAUAUUCGGAAGAACACCAGUGGCGAAGGCGACUUACUGGUCCAUUACUGACGCUGAGGCGCGAAAGCGUGGGGAGCAAACAGG
rnacentral:rRNA from 1 species